rnacentral:rRNA from 1 species
GACGUAGGGCGCGAGCGUUGUCCGGAUUUAUUGGGCGUAAAGAGCUCGUAGGCGGCUUGUCGCGUCGACUGUGAAAACCCGCGGCUCAACUGCGGGCCUGCAUUCGAUACGGGCAGACUAGAGUUCGGUAGGGGAGUCUGGAAUUCCUGGUGUAGCGGUGAAAUGCGCAGAUAUCAGGAGGAACACCGGUGGCGAAGGCGGGACUCUGGGCCGAUACUGACGCUGAGGAGCGAAAGCGUGGGGAGCAAACAGG